UGUUGUAGGCCAAAAGAAUUCUCUUAUCAGCACUUAUUUGGAAAUCUAUCAAUUGAAGUCAUCAGUAAUUAUAAUCAAUCACUGAGAUGUCAAUAAUUGUUCCAGUAACACUGUGGAGCCACCAUGU